UCAAAGAAUGCACUGGCUAGAACUGGUGGC
rnacentral:piRNA from 1 species